rnacentral:rRNA from 1 species
AACGAACGCUGGCGGCAGGCUUAACACAUGCAAGUCGAACGCCCCGCAAGGGGAGUGGCAGACGGGUGAGUAACGCGUGGGAAUCUACCCAUCCCUACGGAACAACUCCGGGAAACUGGAGCUAAUACCGUAUACGCCCUUAGGGGGAAAGAUUUAUCGGGGAUGGAUGAGCCCGCGUUGGAUUAGCUAGUUGGUGGGGUAAAGGCCUACCAAGGCGACGAUCCAUAGCUGGUCUGAGAGGAUGAUCAGCCACAUUGGGACUGAGACACGGCCCAAACUCCUACGGGAGGCAGCAGUGGGGAAUAUUGGACAAUGGGCGCAAGCCUGAUCCAGCCAUGCCGCGUGAGUGAUGAAGGCCUUAGGGUUGUAAGGCUCUUUCACCGAUGAAGAUAAUGACGGUAGUCGGAGAAGAAGCCCCGGCUAACCUCGUGCCAGCCGCCGCGGUAAUAC